AGUGAACGCUGGCGGUAGGCCUAACACAUGCCAGUCGAACGGCAGCACAGUAAGAGCUUGCUCUUACGGGUGGCGAGUGGCGGACGGGUGAGGAAUACAUCGGAAUCUACUUUUUCGUGGGGGAUAACGUAGGGAAACUUACGCUAAUACCGCAUACGACCUACGGGUGAAAGCAGGGGAUCUUCGGACCUUGCGCGAUUGAAUGAGCCGAUGUCGGAUUAGCUAGUUGGCGGGGUAAAGGCCCACCAAGGCGACGAUCCGUAGCUGGUCUGAGAGGAUGAUCAGCCACACUGGAACUGAGACACGGUCCAGACUCCUACGGGAGGCAGCAGUGGGGAAUAUUGGACAAUGGGCGCAAGCCUGAUCCAGCCAUACUGCGUGGGUGAAGAAGGCCUUCGGGUUGUAAAGCCCUUUUGUUGGGAAAGAAAAGCAGCAGGUUAAUACCCCGCUGUUCUGACGGUACCCAAAGAAUAAGCACCGGCUAACUUCGU
rnacentral:rRNA from 1 species